GAUGAACGCUGGCGGCGUGCCUAAUACAUGCAAGUCGAGCGAACAGACGAGGAGCUUGCUCCUCUGACGUUAGCGGCGGACGGGUGAGUAACACGUGGAUAACCUACCUAUAAGACUGGGAUAACUUCGGGAAACCGGAGCUAAUACCGGAUAAUAUAUUGAACCGCAUGGUUCAAUAGUGAAAGACGGUUUUGCUGUCACUUAUAGAUGGAUCCGCGCCGCAUUAGCUAGUUGGUAAGGUAACGGCUUACCAAGGCAACGAUGCGUAGCCGACCUGAGAGGGUGAUCGGCCACAAUGGAACUGAGACACGGUCCAGACUCCUACGGGAGGCAGCAGUAGGGAAUCUUCCGCAAUGGGCGAAAGCUUGACGGAGCAACGCCGCGUGAGUGAUGAAGGUCUUCGGAUCGUAAAACUCUGUUAUUAGGGAAGAACAAAUGUGUAAGUAACUAUGCACGUCUUGACGGUACCUAAUCAGGAAGCCACGGCUAACUACGUG
rnacentral:rRNA from 1 species